CAGCCUCCUACCGUGGGCAGUGCUGCAGAGCUGGGGAAGGGGCUGGAGUGCUCGGGAUGCAGGGGGCCUCAGGCUUGUUUAGAAGAGGAGAUUUGAGGGCCUGUUUCUCCAGAUGUAUAAGAGCAUUUGGAUCUGCUGAAACUGGACGCAUUAGAGAAAAAUUGAUUUAUUUUUUUUUUGAAAUGCAUCCAGAGAUCGGGGUGAGCAAUGGCUGUGCCUCACCUGGCGGCCUGGAAGCAGGGGCUGCCCCUGCCCCUUGGAUUCCUCUCAUCUCUCUGCUGGGUUAAGCAGCAGUGUGGGUCCAUUCCCCUGGUUCCUUCUGCUGGCAUUUCCUGCUCAAAAUCACUGUGGUGCACCACGUAAAUCCUAUCAUCUGAAUUGCUCGCCGCUGCCUGCCAGCCCCGCUCCAGCUCCCAUCAAUGUCACACGCCCCGUCUCUCUGCUCUCCAGCCUUCACGCCUGCAAUGCAUCUGCAAUGGCAAGGUCUAUAACACAGCCCAUGAUAUUAAGGAUGCUCGUGCCACAAAUGAGCAGGCCAGAAUCUGUGCUCGCACUCCCAGAAAAAAAAGCUCGGAGCUAAAUUUCAGAAGGCACUGGGCAAACUCCAGCUCAGCAAGGAGAAAUGAGGCAAAUAAAUCCAGCAGCUGUUUAAUAACCGGACACACAUCGCCUCGAACAGGCACCCAGCCUCACACCCUCACAAAGCAACCACAUCCCAGGCAGUCCCCAUGGCAAACACACCUACCCACGUGCCCAGCCCCACGAUUAACACCUGGACACUAAUUACAGGUAUGAUCUCUUUUUUGUGCGCUACCAGGAGCAUUUGUGCACCCUGCCCCAACGUACCACCCGCAGAGCAUCCAUCCCAAGAACAUGGUACGAGGUGCAAGCCUUCGCCCACCCCUGGACAGACAGAGAUGGUGCAAGGAAAGGACAUCUCAGGAGCCAUCCUGAUUGCUGCAGCAAACGGGGAUAUCAAGGAGAAGGCAUGAAGAUUGUCCUCUGAUGACUGUAAGAGCACGCAGUGCAAGGAAAAAGUUGCAAGAUUGCAAAACUGUGGAGUUUUGCAACUGCACCAAAUGCUGUUAACCUCUGAUUUAGAGUCUGGGUUUCCUUUGACUUAAAAUGAUUUUAAAGGUUUCUGCACUCCGGCAAUCUAAUUACCCAAAAGAUUUCUGUUAGACUUUUUUUUCUGCCCCUUUAUUUCUAAAGAGGUCUUUCUAAGAAUGCCACUAGGUUAGAGUCAUUAUGGCAUAUAAUGCAAACAGGGCCAUUUAUUGUAUUUUUAUGAGGGUAAUACUGCACCAUCUAAUAAAUUUUACAGGAAGGAUUCAAUACAGAAAAUGCUGAGAUUCAGCCACAGCAGGGUCAGCCAAUGUUAGCUCUAAUUUCAGAUGAAAGUAGUUAAGGGAGGAAAAUAUGUAUUUUUUUUUUUUAUUCUUACAGUUUGGAAGUGGUAGGGAAGGAUGGAAACUAAGGAAAAAUCAAGUGAAUACAAAGACUAUUGAAAGAGCAGAUACAAAUGAACUGGCUCAAAGAGAAGAAGAAAUUCCCAAGCUGCCCAUGCAAAUGCUUCAUCUUAACAGAUUUUGAAAACAUUUGCUUUCUCCCUCAUCAGUUUGAAUUUCUUUGUGAGGUCUGAAAACACUAGCUUGUGUUUGGCCGUGGGACAGGAAUUUUAUGCCAAGAAGAAACGCAUGGUUUGUGGUGGAGAGAUGCAAGAAUCCCCCCAUGGUGUUAGAGCCAUGGGAAGCCUUUCCCACCCAGGCUCAGCCUCCAAUCUCCAUGGCCACAGGACCCUUGGGGUGGUCAGGGAGCCCCAGCACUUGUGUGGCCUUGCACGGAGCCGAGUCUCUCCUUCCCGAAGAGCUCGGGCUGCCUCUCUGCCCAUGGAAAGCAGCAGGCCAAUUUGCACUUGGUUUUGCAGCUCUGUUUCUCUUAAUCAGUUCAUUACAGCAAGUCGGGGAAUCAAUGAAAACAGGUUAUUGAUCAGAAAUUCAUAAGUUAAAAUUGUGUUGCUAGUACUAGUUCAUUUCUCAAUGGCAGAGACAAAUCUAUACCUCCCCUCCUCUGGAAAAACCUCAGCCAGUGCAAUUUUUAAUAGCUUUCUUCAAAUGCUGCUAGCACACCCCGGCAAUAAGAAAGCACUUGAGGCAGCUCGGCUGCCGCACACCGCAGGCAGAAGGGCUCAGGCUCCUGGCUGGGACAAUUUCCCUGCCCAGCUCCGGACAUUUAGCACAGAACACAGCCCAGCAGCUUGGAGAUGUGCCCACGUGCACAAGGUGCUGCAGUAAAACAUGUGCAAGGCCUGCAGCUCUGAUGAAGCCCAAGGACUUUGGGGCUGUUGUUGGCACUGCGGGACAGCGGAGCUUCAGGGAGAGCCCCAGCAAGGCUCAUCCAGAUGUGCAGAGCUGCUGGAAGGGUUCGUGGUGCUGAGGUGUCGGGGUGGGUGUGUGCGGUGCUAUGUGGGAUGCAGCAAGUGCAGCUCUCGCCCGUCUGCGUCAGCUCCUGGGCGGGCAGGCUGCAGUGCCGCCGCUGCACGAGGCUCUGACAGCUAAUCUGAUCCUUCAUGCUUCUCUUGUUCUCCCCGCUCGCCACUGAUAGACAAAAAUUCCCAGCAAAUGACUGGUUUCAUGGGCUGUUUCCUCUGCUGUCAAUAGCGGGAAUUGAGAACUGUCAUCACUGCCCCUCCCCACAAAACAAACAGUUCAAUUACUUAUUGCCGCCGCUUCCAGAGCUAAUUGUACUGCUAAUUUAUUUAUUUAUUUAUUUGUUUGUUUGUUUAUUUAUUUAUUUAUUUUCCUUGGAGCAGUGUUACUUUUUUGCACACCGAUGUCUUUAGUCUCUUUAAGGGUUUUAUAAAGAAUAUUUCAUCAAGCAUGAUUCAGGAACGAACUCAGUGAGAUGACAUUUCCUUUCCAAUUUUCUGUUUAUAUUAUCGGAGAGGGGAUUGCUGGAAGCCCGGGGCUGUUGCUGCUAACCUGAUUCAUUCCAUACACACAGACAGGACCGAACGCAGACAAAUUUUACUGUAUUGGCCAGUGUCUAUACGUAAUGAUAACAAUAAUACGUUUUAUCUAUCUCCUGUGAAGCUCAAGAGGAGUUUUCCCAGUAAGUUCAACAGAAAGAUGAUCAAGCUACUACUUAAAUUCUAGCCGGAGAACCUCAGAUUACUUUUCUUCCACCAUUUCAUAUUCUUACAGCGCUGGUGAUGUGAGGGCAAUAUUCCUGCUCUUCGUUUUGAUUAGUUUUUGUGUCUGCGACAGAGACGGGAGCAGCAUCUAGGAUCCUCGUGCAUCCCUUACAUGAAGCCAACUGGGGAGAGUCUCACGCUUUCUCCUACAGCUUGAAGCAGGCUGUGCUGCUGAAAUGCAAGCCCUCUUUCUCCAGAGUGCCGAUUUGACAGCUGCUGCUGGAUUUACAAAGGUUAAGGCUGAUUUUCCAUUCUGGCCAGAUGGGUUAAUGCUCUCCCUGACCGAGAGCGCAGCCAGCCCGUGGCACAGCCGGCGCUGGAAGGGCUGGGGGUGCAAGGCUGGGAGCCCAGCACCGCCAGCUGAGGUGCUGAGCAGCUCCGAGCUGCAAACGGGAUGGGAGGCGAAGAGUUGCAGGGAGACAGCUCUCGGGGUGAGCUUGCAGAGAGAUUACAGUGGAGGAUGUUUUUACCAGAGGCCCCUCCAAGGCUUCCUGCAAGUUGAAAGGAAAGCUAAAUUAGAGGGCUUUAUUCUUCAUGUCUUUUUAACCAUUUCGCUCAUGGUACCAGACAGAGAACAAAGGAACCAGUUGCUGGCAGCCUCACCAGCACAGAAAAACCGGCUGCAGAGUCCUCGUUGGCAACAGGGUGUUUGCUAGAUGUGUGGUGAGCAACGUCUUUAAGAGGGGUAUUAUAAUCAGCCGUGGUGCAGCUGAGAGCUGGGAUCUGGGGCUGUGACGAGGCGUCCUGCAGUGAGGCUGCAGCGCUGGAUGCGGGGAGGGUUUGGGCUGGGGGCUGCACAGCUCCUGCAAACCUUCCCCUGCACGCACAGGGCUUGGCGGAGCAGGAGGAGGCUUCUGCAUCCAUCCGAGUCCCGUCGAUGACAGCUUUCCCCUGGGAGCCAGCUUGCCUCCCACACAGGAUGGAGGCAGGCAGCAGUAUGACCCUUGGUCUGAGUGCUUGGCACGGGAAUAUCAAACCCC